rnacentral:misc_RNA from 1 species
AGAGUAGCUGGAAAGGACGAUUGAUUGGCCAUUAGCUUGACUGACUAAGACGGGGAUGUGGGCAUACCGGGUAAUUCUCCUAUCUUUGUUUGAGACUUCCUUAAGGCUAGCUUUAAAGGACAUGGUUGCAGUCUACCUUCUUCCACAAUGAAAGGGAACCCUCUUCCGCUAUAGCAUUUCAAAUAAGUGCUUAUUGAGUUCACGUAACUCAACCUGAAAAGGAAAGAUUCAGACACUGAACACUAAGCCAAUUUCCAUAAACUACGUAAGACUGAUGCCGUAGUAGAUCAA